AACGAACGCUGGCGGCAGGCUUAACACAUGCAAGUCGAGGGCCCCGCAAGGGGAGCGGCAGACGGGUGAGUAACGCGUGGGAGUCUACCCAUCGCUACGGAAUAACGCAUGGAAACGUGUUCUAAUACCGCAUACGUCCUUCGCGAGAAAGAUUCAUCGGAGAGGGAUGAGCCCGCGUUGGAUUAGCUAGUUGGUGGGGUGAAGGCCGACCAAGGCGACGAUCCAUAGCUGGGCUGAGAGAAUGACCAGGCACACCGGGACUGAGACACGGCCCAGACUCCUACAGGAGGCAGCAGUGGGGAAUAUUGGACAAUGGGCGCAAGCCUGAUCCAGCCAUGCCGCGUGAGUGAUGAAGGCCCUAGGGUUGUAGAGCUCUCUCACCGGUGAAGAUAAUGACGGUAACCGGAGAAGAAGCCCCGGCUAACUUCGUGCCAGCCGCCGCCGUAAUAC
rnacentral:rRNA from 1 species